UACGUAGGCAGCAAGCGUUGUUCGGAAUUAUUGGGCGUAAAGGGCGCGUAGGCGGAUAGUACAGUCAGGCGUGAAAUUCCUGGGCUCAACCUGGGGGCUGCGUUUGAUACGUAUUGUCUGGAGUUCGGAAGAGGGUCGUGGAAUUCCCAGUGUAGAGGUGAAAUUCGUAGAUAUUGGGAAGAACACCGGUGGCGAAGGCGGCGACCUGGUCCGAUACUGACGCUGAGGCGCGAAAGCGUGGGGAGCAAACAGG
rnacentral:rRNA from 1 species